rnacentral:lncRNA from 1 species
GAGGGAGGGAAGCUUCUGUUGUCAUUCAGAGAAAAAAGGUUCUUGGACUAUUCACUGAUGAAAGACAAAUGCUUUAAAAAUAAUAAGAACUUCAAAAUCUUAACUAAGAUAUAAACAAAUGUCAUUGUAACAAAAACACAGAAGUCACAUACCAUGUUGCACAAAUCCCAGGUUAGGAUGUGUUCUUAGGCUUUCAGCAGGAGACAGGUGAUGAUGCAAAUGUCUCUGGGCUGGGUUAGCUGCUCUUCCUUGGGAAAAGGCAUUGCCUUGGGUUGGUGGGAGCUGUGCUGCAGUGCUGGGUUAGAGCUGCUGGGAUGUAAUACAGCCACUCAACGGUGAGCUUCCCUUUGCAGGUGGUGGGAUUGUAACCUUCACGCUUGAGGUUAUUUAGGGUUGGGUUUUUUUUAGUUGUAUUUAAAUACGUGACCUCGCCCUUCAAGUUUAAUUGAUAAUUACAUUCAUUAUUUCUUUUUCUUUAUGAAAAGCAAGAAAGCUCAACUUAUCUGAAGGUUUUUACUGUUUGUGCAUGAAAGAUCUAGAUAAGAUGGAUGAAAUGUAAAGCUGUGCUUUGAAGUGCACUGUCCUUUUCUCUGCAGGGCAGUACAAGGCUGCUGUUAUUUUUGGCGUAAAGCUGUUUGGCAGCAGCACAGUGACCCUGGGGUUAACAGAUUAAUUAACACACUGCUGUGUAGUGCUGGCUGGAGCUGGGGCCCCACAGGGGAUGGCGGGUUCUGGGGCCGUGGAGGCAGCUCCCACUUCUGUGGCAGUGUGUGGCAGCAGGUGGGCAGCCUUCUCCUUGCAGCUGUUGGUGUCUGAUCAGUGCGGCCUGAGUCCUGUGGUGAUAUGGGUGUGAGGGGUCCCUGCUGCUUCCUGGCAGCACAGGAGGAUGAAUUCCUCCAAAAACAAACUGUGCUGUGUGGGGUGGCCUGUGCGGUGAGCUGGGAGCUAAGGAGAGGAGCUUUCAGCAAGAUAAUGUUAAGAUCCCUUUUACUGAAGCUUGCUGUGUGGUAUCAUAACUGAAUGACCAGCUCCACUAGGAGGCAGCUCCCCUGAGAGCUCUGCUCAGAGCUCAGGCCCUGCUCUGCCCUCUCAGCUUUGCUGAGCAGCCCUGAAGUGCUGAGCUGGCCCAGCCUUGCUCCCAGCAUAGUCUAAUGCUCUGAGAAAAGUCAGUGUUGGAGCUCUUAAAGCCAGGUAACUUGGCCCAUUGUAGCGGGUGGGAAAGCUUUCUGGUGUGUGCUGAGCAGCUGCAGGGAUGUUGGGGCUGUGAGGAGGCGGUGGGACUCAGAAUUGGGCAAUGGGUCGGGUAGCUGCUGAGAGACGGCGCUGGGUUCUCACUGCCGUUUGGUACCAUUUGUAGUGAGAAUCCAUCCAAGCGGUUAUGGCAAAAAGGAACUUGAACAGCAUCUCAGUUCCAUCUAUCAAACAAGUUGAAGAAAGUUUGCCAGCCAUCCUGCAGCUGAAGGGCUUUUGCAUUUGACUUAUAAGAGGAAACAAAAUGAUCCUUGUCCCCAGGAAAGGUGUGUGGUUAGAAUAUCAGCUGGGCAGAUGUCAGUGACAGCUCAAAGCAAACCUGCCACAACUGGAGUCAGGGUAGGGAAAGGGGCUGAUGGACGUGACGUAGUGCUCAUUUCUGAGCCCUUGCUAUCACAGGCUCCAACAAUUUUUAUUCCUCCCUGGCUGGGCUUUACAGAACUACAAUAAUUGAGAAACAAAGAUGUGUCAUUUCUGCUGCAGGGAGCAGCUCACUCACAAUGCACAGUGCCCGCCUGUCCAUGUUUGGAACACAAUAGUCAGCACAUAAGCAUGAAGGCCACCAGGAAUUGUGCUGAUGAAUGAGAUCUUGGUAGUAGUUGCAGAUGCUUGUGACUGAGCUGAGCCUGCAGGGACAUCGCUGCAGGGUAACAGGGGUAGCCUGAAGCAGCUUCGUGUGACAGGCACUUGGGGGUGGACGUGCAGGGACGGGUGCUGCCCAGUGCUUGCUGGCUGUGGGGCUGUGCUGGCCUCAAGGCUGGGGGGCACUUCGGCUCUGCGGCCCACCUGUGUGCCCUGCAGGUAAGGCAGGAUGAACUGCUUGUGCUUUAGUUUGGCUACAAGUGUGUGGGGGGGGAAGGUCAAACCACAAUUUUGUAACACUUGCUUUAUUCAGAGCAAAGAUUUAUUUGCUGAAAAGAUUCCUAUGUAUCCAGGAUUUCAUUAGCAUAAUGUGCACUUUUUUUUUCCUUGCUGGUUGCAUAAACUAAUACAGAAACAGUUGUUAAUACUAACAAUCUUUAAUUAAUUUAAUAGGAAUUCUGGAAGACACUCUGAUAGAAAAUAUUUAAAAAAAUUUUUUACUGUACAAAGUUUACAACACAUUUGAAAAGAAAAACGUGUCAAUUUUCACCAUAUUACAUACUCCAUUUACAUUCACUAUUGAUGUGUGGCUAUUGUAGCAGCACUGUACAGCCAGCUUCACAUUUACACCUCUACAACAGGACAGGCUUACUGCACUUCACGCCUCACACCAGCACACGAGGAGACAGCAGACGUGGCCAUAAAGCAGUGUGACCCAAUGCCUGCUGCUCAGCUGGGACAGAGGGGUGGGAGACCCGACUUCAUUCACAGCUGUACAGCUCAGCAGGUUCUGUUUGAUUUCCAUGCCUUACACAGCUGACUGCAACACAUUAUCCAGACAGCAAUUGGCCCUGCUCUCUGGUACGCUGGGUUUUGCUUUUACGUGCCAUUUAUGGGAUUUAAACACAAAACCAAGGAAGGCUGAGACUGAAUCUCAAACUUUAUGGUUUAAAGGCAAGCUUUGAAACCCUUCCUGCAGCAGGAUAGCAUUCCGUCAGCCUGCAGUGCUCAUAGGUCAGCCCCAUCUGCUUUUAGCACACUGCGAAGUGCAGCACAAAGGGACAGGUGGCCCUGCUGACACAGGUAAAGCUGCCUUGCUGGGAAGCAGGGCCAGCACAGCAUUCUGCCUGCAAACAGCCUUCACAGCUAGGGUUUGGACCUCAUGUGAGGGCAGUUGCAUAGGGAGAACAUUUUUUGGUUUUUAAUUUUAUUUUGUUGUAUUUGCAGUGUGUGCCGAGGGGCCUAUUUGCUGUACUGAGGUGGUGAGAGGGAGGUCAAGAGAACCAUGUGUCCAUGCUUGGCUACCACCAAACCAAUUUUGUUUUAUAUUUCAGACACAUUUUAAAAUCACCAUAGCACAGUGUAGGAGUAGGAGAGAAGCCCUCUGCUCAACAGAACUUUUUUUUUUCCCUCCACUUGAUUUUCUCCAAGUCAGCUGCCUGCAACCAAACUGAGUGCCUGUCACUUUGUGUGCCUUGUGGAGGACUUCAGAGCUCUUCCCUCUGUGAUCCACAUUUUAAAGCCUUGUAAUGGUGGCAAAAGAUAUAAAAGAGGCAUGUAAUGUACUAGUGUGACUGGAGGAAUGGAAUUUGAUGACUUCCAGGCAGUCCUAAUGAACUACCUCAAAAAUGAAGCAGCGCAAGGACAGAAGGGCUCUUUAAUGUUCGCUGUGUAAUUAGAGUUGUCCUGCGGCCCUGGCUGACAGGCAAAGGCAGAGGAAUAAGAACGGGAGGUGUGAGGGAACAUUUAAUGCAGCUUGCAAUUCAUUUGUGAGUGAGAUAAUGCAUCUGUCACCUUAAAUGCAGUAAUCAGCUGUGUCCUUUAUCAGUCUGCAUAUUACACAUUGUAGCAUGUGGUUUCCUUUUGAUUUCUGGGGGCUGGGUUUUUUUCUUGGUCUUAAACUUAACCUUUGAAACAGGUCUGAGCUGUUGGAUUGAGUCAGGUUCUCUGGAACAAACCGUAACUUUCCUAGCUGCACGGGUUUUUUUGUUCUUAGUUUUCCUCAGAGCUACUGCUUAGUCCUAAAUUUCUUAAAUUCUUGCAGACUUAUCUGACUGUCCAGGGGAGUGUAUGCGUGCACAGGGGAGAGAAUGAAUCUCUUCAAAGGCUCUGUUUAUCAGAACAGUAUGUAACACAUUGUUGAAGGAUGGCUUUUUCCCUUGAUUUUUCAUCGCUCCCUGGAGCUCUAUCUAGUAAAAUGCGUUCUUCUACAAACAAGAUGGAGAUCAGUGCAGCAAGGGGUGAGAUCUGGCAGUGCUGCUGGUUCAGGGGACUAAAUGGGUUGUGCCUGAAGGUGCCCAGGAGCUCACCUUCUCCAGGGGCAGCCUGCCGGGGUGGCCCUGCCUGAGCAUGGCUGGAAGUGGAUGGACCCAGAGGUUCGUUCCCACCUCAACCAACCUGAGAUUCUGGUGCAUGGCAGUUGAGCUUUUCUUGUGAGUUCUGUGUUGAAGUGCUCGGUUCUGUGUUUCAAUUGAAAUAACUGUAUGUUUGACAGCAAACAUUCCAGUAAGAAGCAGAUUUUUACUACUAUAACUUAAUUCAAGGUAACCCAGAGCUUGGACCAACCCUGCAGAAACAAACCAGAGUGUUUUGUGAUAAGUGAAUUAUCAGUUUGGAUAAAUCACAAUGCAGUAGAUAAAAUUUACCUUAACGAGAGAAAAACAAUUUAAAGAUCCCAUCUCCUUGUAUGAGAUACAUAACCAUUCUGAAACAAAGCAGUUCCACUUGUCUUAGGGAAAGCUGCACUGAAGGCAGAAGAUCGUUCCUAUUUGAACCACAGACACAGAAAGGAACUAGAAAAAGGUUGGUUUCUCUUUGUGCUAGUUGAACAGCUGUAGUUAAAUUGACUCACUGUUUAUUAUGUUUUUAAAAAAUAUAGUUCACACAAAAGUUAUCAUGUAAACAUUCUUUAAAUAACUGCUGGUGCUCAGGCAGAAUUCACACUGUGAACAACAAAGGACUGUGAAUUGACGGUCGUGUGGCUUUCAGCUGUGGCUGCACCAGUUUCAUAGCUUGGAAGAUUCAGUGAAGAUUUCUUUGUGUGUGUAAGUAGGUAGAUAUUAUCACAAGACAACUACACACCAUGCUAUAUCUUUUGAUUACUUGGUUCCAGGAUUCCCAAGCCAAAUCUCUCAAAGCGCAGGACAACUUUGCUACUGUUAAUGCUGAAAAGAGUGGGGAAGGAAAGGAGAAGGGAGGGGAAAAGAAUUAUUUAUUUACUGUUGGUUUUUCAUUGUGGUUGUUUUUUUUUCUCCCCUACAAAGCUACAGUCAUAGAAAAUGGGUUGGGUUCUGGUUUCAUGCGGUGUGAGAUCACCCAGCAGCAUUUAAAAAUUAAGCAGCAAACAUUUGAUUUAUUUAUGCUAACCUCAUUACUGAAAGCAUAUGGCUCAAAUUGGCAAAACAGGAGGCUUUAAAAGUACCUAGCCUAAGGUGGGUAGAAGACUGACAGAUGUUUGGUUUCCUUGAAAUAGAAAUGGAGAAAAAAAAUACUUUUCUAAGGAUAAGGGGCAUUCUGACAAAGUACAGCAAUUGCUUCAAAAAACACAUCUGCUUCUCUUUAUAGCGUAUAGAAAGUGAAUAAAGAUGUCUUUUCUUUCACCCUUAAUCUGUUAGUGUAGCUAGAAACAUUUUCACUUCAAAAUGCCUUCCUACACGUAUGUGCUAGGUGGCAACAAGGCAGGGAGCAUGAGUACGUGAGGGCUUCCAGCAGACUCUUUCCAGUGCAGCAUGCAGGGCUCUGACUUUCUGAGAAAAUGACAUGUAGGUGUAUUUGUCCUCACUGAACGCAGUAAGAACCUCCCUGGCUCCUGCUGCAUAUCUGCCUCUGUCCUCGUCCUCUCUCCCUCAAAUUUUCUUCAAAAAAGGAAUGAAAAAAGACCUUUUACAAAAAGGCACGUGUUUGCAGUGCUGCCUACAGUUCUGCAAAGUUCCUACUGCAAAGUCGAGCAUUUUGCUGAACUAGGAAUGUAAACAAAAGCAAAUCACAGAACUCAAAACGCUGGAUUUGCAAGUGAAGGAGAAUGAGGAACUGAAGGGUUUCUCUGCUUUCCUCCUCUUCUGCACAGUGCUGUAGCUGAUCCCAGUUUUGGAUGCAGCUGGUGGUGGUGCAUUCCCAGGUAGGCUAGGGGACUGCAAUCUGCCCUGAGCACAGCGAGGGCUAUCCUCCUUUCUAUGCAAGAACUGUACCUGCUGUGUACACCCCUGACAAAGCUGACCCUUGGUUCAAUGCAGGGCUGGAUCUGGCCCUACAGGAGAACUGACUCAAUCUGGCCCUUAAGUCGCAUUGGUUUGCAAUGCAAGUGAAGUGUUCAGUUGCUGGCUCUGCCUGUGGAAAAUGUACCUGUUAUCUUGAGUCAAAAGCCACCACCUCAGACAGCAGCUAGGAAACUUCUCCCUUCUGCCUCCUGAGGCUUGCAGGCCACAAAUGCCAGUGUCAGCCAAACCCCAAUGCCUGGUUGGUCAGGGCAGAGCACCAGCUGCCUGCCAGGAGGAAGCUGCAGCCUGCUGCCGUGACUCAGAACGGAGAGGUGCUGCGUUGUUAGACAGUAACUUCUUGUAGGCCGGAGUUGUUAUUCAAGCUAACAGCCCAUGCCAAGCAGAAAAAGGCAGAAAAGGAGAAUUCAGAUAUAAUGUUGAUUAUGUCCGUGGGUUAAUUUCGUGGUUUGUUUUCAUUUUUUUGAAUGGAAGGUGAUUGUCCAAGUUGCUGGUUAGGAUACAACACAUGGAAGCAUGCAAGGUGGACCCCAUUAUUGCACCAGUAGCUACAACCUACAAAGAAAUAUGGAAGGGAGGGGAAAAAGACACCAUGAGAGUUAGUUUUCAGUUAUUUUAAAGCAAGCUCUUGAAAACUACCUAUUAGAAAGCUUACGGUAGUGUCAAGCAAGGGGUUAGUGCCGUAUUUCCUCUAAGGAGUUGUCAGAGGGGAUGUGACUGCCUUCAGUAGGUUUUGUAUCUGGUUGCUAGUUGACACUGCUAUAGAGUGCUUUCUAAGUGUAACCUGAAUAUUAUGUAGUUUGCAGGAGACAAAAACCAACUGAGCUGCCUGCGCUUUAAUUUCAGUGAGCACUAAUUCAGCUGUCAGCAUUGAUAAUUAAUAGUGGCACUUAAAGUACUUCUCUUCUAUUACAUGCUUUCAGCAGAGAAAAAAGCAUUAAUGUAUGCAAAUUUACAUGAACCACUUGCAGUAGGAGGGGAGGAUCUGUCUACCCAGGGAAAAAAUAAUUUGGGUAGCUGCUACAUAAGGCAUGGUUCCACAAGCUGUUCAAGAACUCCCUAUGGAAACACUAACCCAAAAUAAUCACUUAGCAGAUUACUCUGGAAAUGAGCACUCUUGUGAAAUGACUGCCCAAAUGGGAAGCAUUCCUUCAAAUAACUUGAGUGUGAUGUUAGGGACAAUGCAGGACCCUCUGACAGUCUGCAUGGGAAUAUUUAGGCAGCCUGAGCUCCCAGUCUGCACUGCAGUGUCUGACUAGGUGGAUUGAAAGAUAUCAAGUUGGCUGUGAGAGUUGAUGAUUCAACACAAGUGGAUCUGAUAGCAUGGAGAAAUGAGAGCAUGAAAGUGUUGACACAGAGCCAUAAUGGUGGAGGGCUCUACAGAAAAGGGCUUGUGUAGGAAAGGAAAAACUUUAACAGAGGGCACUGCCAUCUCAUGUAGAUCUCCUGACAAAAGAACUGCUGUUGUCCAUAAAACAAUUUGAACUCCAUGAUCCUCUGAGACAAAAGAUGACUCUUUUAAAAAAUAUAUAUAUUGAUGUGGGGCAAAGUUACCUUUCAAAUCCAAGAAUAAGAGACCCUCACUGAUCAUUGCACUCUGCAGCUUAUCACGCUGGACCAGAUUCUGUACCUGCCUUUGGUACUGACAUCCUUCUCACUGCUCUAAGGACAGCAUCGCUUGCUCUCUGACUCCCAGUGUGCAGAAAAGACAGGUUUAAGUUUACAAAGCUUUAGGCCUGAGGAGGAAAAAGAGCUGUUUCUCUUAAUUUAUGAAUGAUGGACAGAUAUUUCUAGCUCAAGUUCUGUUCGUUUCUCUUUAGAUGCUUAUUUAGAAAAAAAAACACUUAAAAUAUCAAGACAACUGAAAUCCCCAGACUGAAGCUGUAACAGAUCUGCUGGAGCAGGGAGUGGGCAGGCACAGAAUGACAUCUUACCUCCCACCUACAGUCACACCCCAGUGCAUAGCAGAAAUUGAUGAUGCAAAUAACUGCCAAAUCUAAGGAUAUCCCUGUUUUUUCAUUGUAUCUUUUUAAAACGAGUGCUGUAAUAUGAAUAUAUACCUGUCUAACACAUGGAAAAAAUAGCAGACAGUUCUACUUAUCAGCGAGUGGAUAGUAAGCAUUCAACUUUUUCUGGUAAUAGUUUUCUUUUGUAUAAAGGUGAGGCCAUCUUUUAAUGUUGUUAGACAUUAUAACAAGAGACAAAGGGUGAAAUCUGCAACCAAACCCCAAAAUAAAGCACACACACCAAGGCACAAAAUGUCAUGAUGCUCACCAUACAAGUAAACAGAAGCAUUUGUUCAGUGAUGAUAACGUAUUACAGGAAGAUCAUGAAGGGUUAUGGUAAGGAAGGGGUAGAUUAAACAUCAAAAAGGGAAAGAAAUAAGAAAAUAUUAAAGGAGCAGUUGAAGAAAAUUUAAACCAAAGAAAGUAUGUGGUAAUGGGCACUGUUCACAGUCUGAUCUCCCCUGACUUCGAGGCAAGCGAGACUGGGAUCUCUUAUUGUCUGAGUGAUGGGUUAUUCAUGACACAGCAGACAAAAGGUUUUAGGCCCUAUGGCUUUAUACAAAUCUAUUCUGACCUGGAUUUAGUUCUAAAUUCUGGUCUCAUCUAUCAUAACAGAUGUCAUAGGAUGUUCAGUGAAGUAUUUCUGAGGGGUCUCUCCCAGUUUUGUCAGUUUACUGAUGCUUUAUCUUGUGAUACUUUUCUUUCCCACUUUCAACACAGGUCCUAAAUUGGAAAGUAUCAUGAUAUGGCUAGGACUUGCGUUGCUACCUCUCAUCUUUCCUUGAUCCAAAUCUUGACAUGAUUCCAGCUUAUCCAGUCCAAAAGUAAAACUUGUUCCUAGCUGUCAAUUUGCUGCCAAGCAAUUUAUAGAUUCUGAAGAUUUUAGUGUUCUUUUUUUCCUCCAGAGGUCAACUGUAUUGAGCAAAGUGCUCCAUUCCUGUAUCUGUCUGUGCAAUGUGGGCAGUCUUCCAUACAGAGGAGGAGGGGUUUGCAUUUUUUCCCUACCUGCUCCUUGAGGAAGGUUGCUACAUUAAGACUCUUGCAUAAAUUGAUGGUUCAGUUUAAAAGGGAAAUGGCAGCACAUUCUUUGGUGAUUCCCUUCCUCAUUCAGUACCAGCCAUUAGAAGGGAAACUCUAAUCCCUUUCAGGUCAGUGUGGGCACUUUCCAAUAACGUUGGUAAAUACUCUCUGAAACUGAACAAAGCUGGAUAAAUGAUCUACAGAAGGAGGGAAGCAAAUAUGUUGAAGUAGGAAAUUAACUGUCUGAAAUGUGUGCGCGUUUAAUUACAUAAUUUCCUACUAAGUAGAAAAGCAGAAAAGCACAUUGUUACUCUGCUAUUAAAGGCAUGACAGACCCCAGGAAGGCAAAAUUAAGCACAGGAAUAGUUGGUUAGCAAAUUCUGAGCAGCAUAAGUGUUAACAACCGCAAGUACUCACUCAGCAGACUUCCAGAAGUGCCCUGGGUGGGAGAGCCGACGAUUCAGUUUUGGCAGUUUUUCAAGCAUAUCCAUGAGGACAGUGAAGCUAGGUCUCUCACUAAGAUCAAAUGACCAGCAUGCUGAGAGAAUUUCCUGCAAAGGAUAGUUAAGGCUCAUUAUUUUCACUUAGUUCACAUGUCAACUCUACAAACUUAGUGACUGAUUGAGCAGUGUGACUUGUGACAGCCCAGCAAGAACUACUUUUUAAGCAGUUGUCUUGGACAUUCUUAAAGUCAGUGUCCUGUGUACCACUGGAUGUCACUUUUAUAUGACAAUAACGGGAAGAGGCUGGUAUGUCAUUCUAAUCUGUUCUCUCUCCUGCCCUUUAUCUUCAGAAUUAUAGUAAAAUAAGCAGCUCCCUCUUUUCCAGCAACCCUGGCAAACAGUUUUUUGGAAGGAAUCCUGCAGCUGAUGUACCUACAUUGAUUUCUUUCCCCAAACUAAUAGUUGCAAGGAUUUGUUUCACUCCUUCACCACUUCCAAUUUGCCAGAUGAGUGCCUCGGCAGGCUGGUUCUUGAAGGGCCAUUCUCUUGCUUGGAGCUCAUACCACACAGUCCUGCAACACAAACAGACAAAUCAAGCCUUUGCCUGCUCUUAAGAUGCAAAACUCUGACAGAAUCCCAAUUUCUUCAGAAAGCUCUGGAAUGUAAAUAAGGCUGUGCAGCAAAUCCCUCCCAGCCCAUUCACCCACCUCCUUGUCAAGCUGUCACACCCAUGUCUUUCAUAGUAGGUGAGGGAAAUGCAGCCUAGCUGAAUCUGAGUCUGACAGAAGACUGGCAAGGCUCAGGUCUGUAUCAUAUCUCAUUUAGAAAGUUCCAGUGAUACGCUUCAGGUCUCUUCCCCUUACCCAAAGGCAUAGAUAUCUGCAGCUUUGGAGAAAGGCAGCUUGUCUUCAUCUUUCCCAGGGGCCAUCUCACGAACAAUUUCAGGGGCCAGGUAGCAUAACCAGUCAUGAGGCAGCUUCAAUUCAUUCUCCCUCCUGAGUUCAAAGGAAAGAAGUCAUACUGAAACACAAUAUUAAAUAAACUAAGAAACAGCACAUGGCCAAUAGUUGUGGUUUGCCUAAUGCUGUGACUUUUCUCAAAUGUUUUAGCUUGGCUAACACUCUCAUUUUCUUGCCAUAUUAAAAAACAUAUGCAAUUGUUGGCCUGACGCUCCAGCUCAUUCUUGGGCUUAAAAUUGUUUUUGUUUUGUGUUCUGAGACUCAAUUCACGUUAUUUUCUAGCUGUGUUCCACUGAAAGUGUAGAAAGGCCUCUAUUUAAAAAAAAAAAAGUGUAUUCCAAAGUGUACAUAGUAAAGGACCCAGAUCUCCUCUCUUGCACUGUGCAACACAUCGAAAUGUGUCCCUGUUAGAUUGGUUUUAUCACCCCAGAAGUGGACCGAGCACUGAAACCUCCACCUACCUUCCUUCCUGAACCACACCCGAAAUUCCAAAUAGUCCAAAGUCAGUGAUCACUACUUUCCCAUUGUCAUAAAAAACAUUCUUGGAUUUCAGAUCCUUGUGUACAAUCCCCUUUGCAUGAAGAUAGCCCAUGCCCUGGAAAAAAAGUUUAUAUGCAGAGAUGUACAUUUUGUCUUAUCUACAAGCCUCUAACUGGGCAUGCUUUUCUUUCUAAUAUGUGUUUACUCUAUUUACUCCAGCAUAAACAAUAAAUUAAGUGGGGAUGCAUCAGCUUCCUCCUCUGUACAGCAGGGUUGCUGGGAGGGCACUUCUAAUUGAAGCAGUAAGUGACUGUGAACUUUACAACUCUGAAUAAGUGUGUAUGUGUAUGGACAAGGAACAACUGACACAAGCUUGCUCAGUAAAUUCCUAGGACGCUACUGCCAGCAAAGAAAACAAUAGCUUAAGAAAUGCUACUUCAAUUGAGCAAUACUGAAAACAACCAUGGAAAACUGCAAAUCUGGAAGAUAAUGUCUACUUCAGAAUGUAGCUGUAGUUACUAAUAAAAGAGAAGAGACUGGGAAGGAAAUCUGCCCUGCAUGCAUUUCUUCAUGGUUGCCUUUUAUCAAAAUUCUCCCUCCCCAACCCCAGAUAAGCAAAAAUUCAAUUUCUAUCCCUACAGGUCUUCAGCUUACUGCCCCACUGAAUUAGCAGUUUUCCUUCCUCCAGUUUCAAGUUUUUCCCUACUGCAGCAUCCUGUAGUACGGCUAUUGAACUUUCAGACCCUCUCCAGCUGUGCAGCCACUCAACACUUGCUGAGGUACUGCCCAGAAAACAGAUGUCUCUGAUAGCACAAUGUAUGCUUACCUUAAUGAUCUCCUGUGCUAUCUGCCUGGUUUUGUUAAUAUCCAGGGAUAUCUUGGGGUCCCUUACAAAUGAAUAAAGUGUCCUUCCUUUGCAGAAGCUAUAAGAAAGAGGAACAAGAGUCCUAAAAAGUAUCUUUAAAACUUUGGAGGAACAUAAAAAUGACCACUGGAUGCUCAAAUGGUACUCUUAUCAUGUUGACAGAAUCAGUCGUCUUCCCUCUGCUGAGCAAUGCCAUUUUCAAUAAUAUAAAUGGCUCAGUUGACAUCUGUGUGGGUGCACACAAUUGCAGCUGUCGCUAGCAUUCAGUUAUCGCUAAAGUGUGUUCAAGCAAAUGCUUGUGUGUUUCCUCAGUGGCUCUGAUCUCGUUAUGCCCUUCUGACAAAUAAGUCCAGUUUACAAAACCUGAGCACCAGCUUCUGCUGAGACUGCUGGUUACUUUAUCCCACUUUUUAAGAAUUCAAAAGACUUUAAGAGACUAAAAAAUAAGAAUUAAAUUGUCAAUAAAUAAGCUCCGUAAGAGAUGCCUCUAAUAUCCAAACCUCCAAGCAACAGAGGCUGCGUUUAUGUCUUCCACUUUCAGACUACAGAAAUAAAUAUAUUUAUAAUACAUGCCUAUAUUAUAAAUAUACAUUAAAUAUUUGUUAUGCAAAUAUAUAAUUUACAAAUAUGUUUAUAGAAAUUUAUUUUGUAUUACUAUUAUAAAUAAAUGAGCAGGUGUAGCAUUACCAACAGAAGUUGCUAUAUCCUUACCUAGUAAUGAUUGCUAAAUGAGGAGGGUUCAUGCAUGCUCCCAUGAAAAGCACCACGUUCUCAUGCCGGGUCUGUCUGUAAUUCAUCACCUCCUUUUUAAAGAGCUUGAGAUGAUCCUGAUUGUUCCCAUCUAUCUCCAGCAGCCUGAUGGCCACUUCCCCAUGCCAUUUUCCCUUGUGAACCUUCCCCCAUCGUCCUUGGCCAAUGGGAUCCCCCAGUUCAAUCUGUUCAAAGGGAAUGUCCCAUUCCUGCAGGUAGACGCUGGUCUGGCUGGGUUUGCGAUAAAUCAUCCCUUGCAAGUGCGGCCUUCUGUUUGGCAAAUCUUCCACUUCAUCCUCAUCAUCUUCAGGUUCUGAUUUAUUACUCUCAGGUUCUUCCACCUGUUUACAGAAAGAGAAAGGAAAAACAUGCUGAGAGUCUGUUUUGAGAGGACUUGGGUAGGUUGAUGUACCUAUUUGACUACAGACCUAGAGAUCUCUUCAUAGGACAAAGUCAUCUGAGAAGGCUAUAAAAGGCAUACACCUCCUCUGGGGAUAUGACUCAAGAACCACUUGAGAAACAGCAGGCAACUGAGUGAGCCAAAGACUUGAGAAGUAUCACCUUAGGCCAAUUAGAAACAGAACUUUCUGUUACAAGUACUUCAUUGUUUCAGCCUGGCAACAAAACACCAACUGUCAGUAGAGAUCUUUGCAGCAUAGACAGCUGAGUGGAACUGAAGGCACAGCUAGUCUACACUCACAGCUCCACAGCUACAAGCUUCUGUUGCGUUACAACAUGGCCUUUGGGAUUACAAAAGAGGUAUAAAAGGGGAAACCAUAAAACGUACCUCUGCUUCAUGUUUAACUCCAUCUGUAACUGUCUGUUCUUUAGCACUAACAAGAGAAGAUAGAUUUGUAGUAAGAAAUAAAUAGGGUGCAGAUAGUGAAAGCAGUAUAGUCGAUCAUAUCAAAGUAGAAUCAAUGCUCUACUUAAUGACUAAGGACUUUCUAAGAUUACUUUGGCAAAUAAGAGACAAAGACUUUGAAGUGAUUCUCAGUGUUUAAGUGGUAGGAAUUCACUGGAAGUGGUGUGGCUGCAUUAGUACAAUGUGUUUCAGUAACAGAUACUCCUAUUUCCAGUACUACAGAAACACAUAUGGAGUGGUCAAGCAAUUGUGAGUGCUAAGGUAUGUAGGUUAAAAACAUCACACCCUACAAUUCAGAUCUCUACAAAGAUGUUAGCUUGCCAUGCUCUUCCAUGUUGUUUCAAUCAUGAAACCAUCUACCUUUUAUUUCAUUGGACCUUCCUGAUCUGGGAACAUGCACACACAACCAUAACUACAUAUUUGAAGGCACAGUCCCACUUAAAAUAAAUAUUUUCAGCUUUACAAAACCAGAAAUACCAGUAUCACUCUUGCUGAUUGAAAUUAUCCUGUAGAAGUUUUCAGAUGAUAUGUUCAGCAGGCUAUUGGUUUCGGUUAUCACAAUGCCUUCACGCUGACCUGAAGAUUAUCAAGUUAAUAAAGAUAAAACAAGCAGAACUUACUCAGUGUCUGCAGCGGUUUCUGGAGGCUGUGCUAUUUGUGCAGGACUGGGAAUUUCUGAAAAGCAUGAAAAUUACUAUACAUAUUUUAGACUUAAUUCCCUUAUAGAUCAGAAUAUUCAAUAUUGCAGUAAUGGCUGUUUUACAUGCCUUUAUAUCAACCAAUCCCAGUUUUCUUAACAUCCACUUAUCUGUAACGUUUUGCAACGGCUGUCCUCAUCUGUGAGCUGCUCACACUCUUUUAAAUGGCCUUAAGCAAUCAGAAAUACUUGAAUCCAGAUGCCCCAGUUCUGUGAGGAUUGAUCUUUAUUGCAGGUCAUGCAUUCCAACCAUACUUAGUAUGAUCAAUGUCACCAUUGCACAGGAAAUUCAGUUUGGGUUGCAAAUCCUCGCAAAAUUUAGAGUAUAGUACUCUGUACCUGGCAUCCUACAUCACCAGUUCUCACUUUGGAAAUAGACAAGCUGUUUCUGAGUGUUCGUGAACAGUGACCAAGAGCUUGCACAUAUGAAUAAUGUUGCAUCGUUUUUAAACCCCAUAGGCAAGAACAUUAAUUCAUAAAGGUGAACUCAGCAUUCCUGAACUGACAGCUUCCAUUUAUUCUAAGCAUAUAAUCCCAAAAGACAGCCUUAACAAAAGAACACAGCUUUGAGUAGAAUCUCACAGCAGAAAUCUGUUGCUUUAUCUGUUGUAUUGGAUACACUUCUUUUCAAAAGCAGAAUUAUCAUUCUUGAGUAAGCAUGCAGAAAUUUACAAACAGUUACUUUCUGACAGCAAAAGCUAGUUAGUAGAAUUAAAACAGUCAACUCACCUGGGAAGAUAAACUGUUGUCUAUGCUGAAUAUAGUAGGCAGCUUUUUGGUUAAAAAAAAAAAAAGACAGCAAAAAAAAAUACCAGGGAAAAACAAAACAAAAAACAAAAAACAAGUUAGAGGAUCAUCAGUAAGUGCCACAUAUGCAUUCAAUGAAUUAGUCCCAACUCACUAUUGGGAAGCAGAUUAGUUGAUUAUCAGUCUGCUUUAGGGGUGAAUUUCAGCACAUGCGUUUUUGGAAGACAGGUGACACCUGUCACAUGAAUGCUGUGUUACCAAAAAGCAAGCAGUCUGGCAGGAAAACCCCCUGUUCAGAUGUCAAGUGGAAGAAGUAAACUCAGAGAAGCCAGGGAUGCUAACAGGCAGGCCCAGGGAAAAGCUGGUCCUUCAAUCCUCCCUCAUAUCGUCAGCUUUUCCAAGCUGCAUGCAGAGAGGCUGAAGCUCAAGAGCUAUUUGCAAGGUUAUUUUUUGUUUUAAUUUCACUUAAUUUAAAUUACUUGUCCUAAUACAAAGUAACUGCUGUAGAAUCCUUGCACUAAACUAGUGCUGCUUCUGCUCCUUUUAAGUAGGCUAAAACAGCAACUUACACAGCUGAGAAAUCUUCUGCAAAUUACAGCAGUAUUUAAGCAGCACCUGUUUAGCAGCAUGUGAUUUCAUUUCCAGAUAAAAGGAAUUAAGUUUAUUCUACUAUGCAAGCCUUGCCUCUAUUAGCUUUGUUAAAGACAGCGUAUCUGGGUCCUUAAUCUGUGAAGUCUGUAAAUUCUUCACCAUGCACAUCUGUCUACACUUUAAAAGCCAGUGUUCAUUGUUGGUUAUCUUUUGGAAGGGACCAAUAAAGCAAAUUCAUGCCAGUCUUCAUUUCAAUAUUUUGUUCUAGCAAGGAACUUAUGAUUUAAAGACCAAAAACAGCAGGCAGCAUGCAUUUUAUGAUACAGUAAGAAAAAUGAGGAAAAGAAUACUAUUUGUUUUUAGUACUCAUCAGAAAAAAAAGGAAAAAAAAGAAAGUAGAAAGAUCAUAUCAUGUAAGAAAGGUACCAGAACUCCUCAGUAAUUUGUUUCCUGCAAAAGUAUCUUGUUGCCAUGACUUAAAACCUUGUAAGAACAGACUGUUUCCUUUUAUCAGAUGACAGGAAAAACUUUCAAACCUUGAGUAAGACUCAACUAUCUAUUCAGAAACCUGAAUCUACUUAUGAAGUUUUGAUUAGCCUCAGCUUCCAUAGAUGCCUUUCUGAUCUUGGCAGAGUUCUCCAGAAAAAGAUGGGUUUACCUGGGAAGUUAAAUCGUCCGUCCCUCUGGCCCAUAGGAGAUAGGUUUGGGGGAGGUGUUGCACUGGGAGGGUUGGAAGACUGGAAAGGUGCUGGAGAAGAUGGCGUGGAAGAAGUUGUAGAAGAGGGAUUACUGCUGGAGUCCAGAUGGUUUAUUGCUGGUGGGUGCUCCUGAAAAGCAAGAAAAGUCACUAAUGAGUACAUAAUAAAAAUACAGAGUUUUCGUCAAUGUUUCAUGAAACGAGGAAGGCUGUCCCUAGCCUCAAACAACACAGUUUCUCUGAGUGAGGAGGCUCAAGAUGUGCACAACCAAUGUUUAACAAUGAGGAAAAUUCAUUCUGAAGACUCUUUACAAAGUGAAAGCUGAAGUGCCAUUCUUGUUCCAGCCACUAAGGUACUACUGUGACCUCUCCUUAUUGUAGUUCCUCACUGACUGCGAGACAGAAGAUUCACAUCACUCCAGUCACUGCGUACCUUUUUAGUGAGUGCUUUGGGAAGAGUUCCAAACUGUGGUUCUGUUGGUCUGUCUACUGGAUUGUUGAUAUCAGAAGGGACAGACUCUGUUCUCCUUAUUUUGGUAACUGAAAAACAGGUUGGAGAUAAGAUGAAAAAAAAAAACCCUUUAAUCAGACUUAUUUUUCUUGUGAUACGAUCAGCUACAUUGAUGUGCUAGGAAUUUGUAGUUAACUUACUGGGAAGGAAUGAUAUUCUGCAAGCAGGUGCCUCUUUAGUACACUUGUUGUGACAUUUCAAUCUGAAAGAGAAAUGUUAAAUGUUAAAUAGCACUUGUUCUUUCCCAUAAAGAAGAAGCCUACCCUUAAUUUAUACUAUUUAUGCAAAUCAUAAGGAGAUUUCUGGAAAGCUCUAAGCCUCAAAGCAGGCCCAUGUGUUCAUAUGAAGAAUCCCAUUAUAUGUAUCAUUAGAGUAAUGAAAGUCAGAUAGAUACCCUAGCAUCUGAUUUAUUUCUAAUAUAGUUAUCUUCACUUAUGACUUUCCUGAGACAGGGAACUGCGAAAAUUUCAGCUCUCUGGACUGAAAAUCCAGAGAGAAUCAAAACCAAAUCCUUGUUGUAACACAGGCACUCAACUUCCAGUACAAGAUUUGCCUAUGGUCAAGUAGGAAUUCCAUAGUAGGGGACUACAUUUGGUUCCUCCACACAUCAGGUUCCCUGCCUAAGCACUGUCAUGCCAAAGCAACACACUGCCAGUCUGACUGAAAAAAGUGAUGCCACUGUUAACAGUGGCUUUUUGUUUUUGUUUUGUUACUGAUAUACUUGAAUGAAUAAAACCUAAAGUUCUUAUGUAAAAGAUCAUCUCUGUGGGCUCACCUGCAGUACUUACACUUCACCCCAAACAUCAUACUUUUCUGACAAACUUGGCAGAUCUGAGAUAACCAAGACUUUGUAGAGAACCUAAGCAGAGGAAAGAGGGGAAAAACAUGUUAGCUGGUACCUAAAGAAAACUGCAUUUGUAGCGACAGGCAAGCUACAAUCCUUCAGCAUUUUCAGAAAAGGGCAAGUGGUGUUAUGGAAGACUUCUCACUUUUCUGAUCAAUAGCAACGGAAAGAAGGCUAGCAGGAAACUACAAGGGAAGAAAAAGGAAAUGCUUUUUCCAUGAAGGGAGGAAGGAGCAGCUUCCCUUUCAUUUUUAGCAGCACAAGUGUUUUAGAAAAGGCACUGUUGCACAUUUCUUUUACUUAGUUCUUUCACCCAGGACACAAGCCCCAUACAAAACAUUACUGCUGUUGGUACCCCAGUCAUUGAAGAAUCACAAGUCAGUUAGCUUUGUAAAAAGGAUUUCAGGAGCUGAACACAUCAAAGAUAUUAAAAACAGAAUGAGCUGCAAUACAAAUUCAAGGUUGAACUUGACAAAUGAGGCACACAACCCAACUUCAAGCCCAACUUUACUACUACAAACACACUAAAUAUGAUGCUGUUCUGGUUCCCACAGUAUGUGUUGCUUACCUGUGUGUUACAGCUAAGCCAAAGUCUCUUCGUACCAUUUGAGGGGAUCCUUGGGAGAGUUCUGAUGGAGAACAAAGGGAUCUUUUAGGGAAGCAUUACUCACAAGCACACUUAGCAGUUUAGACAUAAACAGUGACAUAGAUAAAAACUAGUAGGUAUGACUUCUCUAGGAGCACAGCUGAAAUCAAUUUGCCUUGUGCAGUAAAACUACAAGAUAGUCGUGUUUUUCAUAUGAAGGCAAUAUGAACUAAAAUUUGGUGUUAGAAUCAUAAUUCUUCCUUCCUUGCAUUAAAUUGUUAUAUGUUAAGUUUAGGGAUUAAGAAAGCCCUAGGCCAUUCUCAUAACCAAGUGGAAAGUCACACAAUAGCUUAUUCCCAAUUGGUUUUCCACCAAAACCGUCAUCCAGUUUUCCUGUAGUAAGUAGAUUUCAGCGUGUUCUUUUACACUGAAAAUUAUUAUCACCAUUUUAUAGACAGAACCAGUGUGGCCCAGAAGAAUUAAAAAAAAAAUUAUCUGGCAUCACUUAGCUAGCCAAUAAAUGCAGAAAAGGAGAGCUGCACUCCAAAAUCCCAGUCCAGUGCUCCAGUGGUUAUACCAAAAAACUUCCUGGAAGCUCUCAAAUAUUAAGACUGGCAUAAUUCCUUAAUUAAAUCUGUAGCCAUUUUGCAAACUGGGAGGAAACUCAACCUGUAGGUAUCAGCACAGCCUCAAGAUGGGACACUGUCAGUGCUUAUAAAAGCCACUCUCUCUCUUUGACCCUAGGUGGCACCAAAUUCUUUUUCUUUUUUUUUUCUAAAUCAUUAUUCCAGUGAACUUUUCAAGGCAUCUGCAGUCUUCAGCAUCUCACAAUAGGCUGGACAGACUAGCAGCUUUUCCAAAGAAUACUGUUGAGCAAGUGUGGACAUCCAAACCACAGCUGUCUGCAUUAAUCAUCAUAACAUAAGUUAUGACAUAAGUGAUAAAUUUUAGAAUUUAACGGGACAUAAGAGAGCCUACAGUAUAAUUUUUAAAAUAGACUAGCUGCAUAGAAGCACCAAAAAUCUUAAUUUGUUUUAACUUUUUCUUAUGCCUUUUUAAUUCAUUAUUUAAAUUCCAUCACUCUCCAGAGAGAAAUGCUCAGAUUUCUGCUUAAUUUUCAUUUUACAGUUUUUUCUAUACUUCUUCAUUUCUGAAAGUAAUUUCUGGGAUUUGUUCUAAAGGCUACUAGAGAAAUGUAUGGUCCUUAUAUAAACUUUUAUACUUCGCAGAAUGGUGAGGCACUUUCAUAGAGCUUCUAAUGUUGCAAGUUCUGUGUCUAAGAGGCAGCUGCACAUAAUCAUGUUCAGAAGCAUUAUAACACCAAACGUGUCAGUGUAUAAAAGCACAGGUCCUUGUCCUGUAAACGCUUAAACAUGUGAAUAGCCUCAUCACUAUCAGAGGAAGUAUUCUAGAUUUAGGAAUGUGCUGAAGCGUCUCUCAAGAGGUCACACACGACUGUCUAGUUUUGUUAGAGACACUAGGCAGUGAAUAUCUGAAGACAAAUGGUUAGAUCUAUUUCUAGUACCAAGGGACACCAAUAUCAGCUCCCAGAAGUCAAAGACAAGCAGUUAUACACAAACUCCUUGCUUUAGCCCUUAAACAUCAGCAUUCCUUUUUCCUGCUUUUGUCAUCUGAAGCAAUACCAGGUACAAAAACCCUGUUAGCACCCUGCAAUUCUUCAGCUGGCUGAGCUCCUGUUAAAGGUAACAGGAGCUCUGGAAUGCAAGGCCUUAUUGAGGACUUCCACAGGGUGGAAAGUUUUCACUUAAGAUUUUUGAAAAGUUACUAAUUAAAGUUACCUUUUCAUUAAAACAAAGAGGCCAAAAAUCUGAAAAAAAAGGACAAAUAUUUAGCUUUUCACUGGAGAAAUGAAAAGUUCAAACAGUGUGGAAAAUGGCUUUUUUCAUCAACAGAAAGAAUGUUUUGACAAAGAGGUACUGAUCUCCUUAAGCAAUUUUACCUUCGUUAGAGGACCAGCCUUACUGAUACCCUGCUUAGAAAGAUACUUGUGUAGAUCUUCUUGUGCCUCUUAAUACACCAAACCCCCAAAAAGGUAAUCAAGCAGACACAAAAGAUACAGGGUUCUGGAAAGCAUGAAAUGAUCAGAUGUUCCCUGACAAAGUUAAACUGUAUUG